GAAACCACAUAAUUAUUAGGAACCAACAACGGUGCUCUUGAUUCUCACUGAAAAAUUACUUUAAGUCACAUGGGAAAUUUUUCUAAGAGCUUAAAAUCAGAGCCCUGCCCAGUCAACAACACUGUGAAUGUGUCCUGGCUAGGCUACAAAGGUAUUCAGAAAAUCUUGAAUUAGGACAGCAAAAAUGAAACAUAAGCAGUGUCAAAUCAAUACUGUGGAAGAUGGUGUGAGAAAAAGAACACAUGUAUAUGUAUGUAUGACUGGGUUACUAUGCUGUACCACAGAAAUUGACACAACACUAUAAAUCAACUAUACUCUAAUAAGGAAUUUUUAAUAAAAAAAAUUAAAAGCACUGAGAGUACCAAAAAACCCUACUGUGGGCAUUUUUAAAGUUAUUUGGCUUAAGUCGUCAUAUAAUCAGAAAUAAAGUAUCACUGCUGCUUUCAAAGGGACAGAGAGCAGAGUAAAGAUUUGCUCAGAGACAUAUAAGAACUUAAAAGUCAACAGGCACGGAUUGUGAGAUUACAUAUUCUAAGUAGGAAUCAGCUGCAGGCACUUCUGAAUCAUUUGUGUUUCUGAUCUUUUAGGAAUCAGCCUGUAGGCAAAGCAUAUGUUGAGGCUGCUGGUAGUGCCUAGAUGAGGGUGCAUGUACACGUGGGAGGGGUCUGAGCACCUCUCUGGAUGCCAACAACACCCCCCUCCCCGCCCCCAAGAGAAAGGAUGGUUAUCUUGGAGAAGAUAUUUGAUGUUGGUGUUGAAGAAAGUUCAGCAAUGGCUUGGCUAUGAAAUGAGAUGAAGAGUUCUGGAAGCCUGUGUAGAAAGGCUCAUAGAAGAAAGCAGGUGAGACUUUACUAAAAUACAUAAGGAGUAAUAUUUUUUUUUUCAAAAAGGGUAGUUCUGUAUAAUGUAAUUUUAGGGGGAGUCUGGGUGAAGGUUAUGUGGAACCUCUCUGUACUAUGUAGAUACUUGUGAGUCAAUAAUUAUUUCAAAAUAAAAAGUUAAAGCAAAUUUUAAAAGAUAAAACA
rnacentral:lncRNA from 1 species